rnacentral:misc_RNA from 1 species
CCGAGUUAGGGUCCUCUGGGCCCGACCUCCCAACCCUAUGUUUAUCGAACCAUUGUUGCUUCGGCGGACCCGUCUCUCCCACGAGACCGCCGGGGGCCCGUCACACGUCCCCUGGCCCGCGCCCGCCGGGGGACCCCAAACCAUGAAUCUUUACAGCGGAAUCAUCUGAGUGGCACAAGCAAAAUAAAUCA